CAUUCCAGAUAUGUAAAUAAAAACAGAUAAAAAUAUAUCAACAAAAACGGUGCCGUGUUUUAGAUUGUGUUUUAGUUGUGAAUAAAUUGUUAAUAAACAAAAAAUACAAUGGGAGUAACUGUAUUACAACAAUUUCCAAUGAUGGAAAAUCGUACUGGACCACAGACAAUUGAAUUUUUAACAAAAAGAAUACUUGCACUUGGAGCUCUUCAAGUUGGCCAAUUUAUUGUUGACUGUGAAACUUACAUGUCUGUUCCUCAACUUGGUGCACAGAGGACAGUUCAUGUACUUCAUAAUUCCGAACAGCCAGCAUCGGUUUUUGCACUUUUAGAAUCAGGGACAAAAGUUGUGCCUUUAAUUGCUGAUGGAUUAUUUGAUUUGAUGAUGAUUAAAUUUGCAACAAUGUAUACUAGUAAAAAACAAACUAAAAUUGAAUCAAAAGGUCCGAGAUUUGAAAUUGGUGAUUUUUGUGUUAAACUUGGCAGUGUUACAAUGAGUCAAAAUUUUAAGGGUGUUCUUGUUGAGGUUGAGUACAGACCGUGUGUGGUACCAGGUGAAGCCUGGAAUCUUAUCAAAGAAUUUUUACAAGGAUUUAUUGGUUCAGCAGUGGCAAAUCAACCUCCUCCAUAUUUACAGAAUCGUAUGAAUGAUAUUUAUCAACCAAUGGACACAAUACAUCAGUACUUGGAUCACUUUGGACAAUAUAGAAAAGCAACUGGUGUAUUAUAAUUCAAUGAAAAAAUUUAAUUAAUCAGUGGAUAUAAUCAUUUUCAUCUAGAAAUAAACAUUUAUAUAUUGUAAAAAUAUAAUUAAUUUUUAUAUUGGCUUAAAGGAUUGUUAAUUUAAAUUGCCAGUCGAUGAUAAUAGAGAAAAAUAUGUAUUCCAUUUUCAAUAAUCAACAAAAAGAAUGGAAAUUCAUCGGCUGACUGAUGGAUAAGGUUUCUUAUUAAUUUGAGCUAAAUAAAUACCAGAAAAAAUAUUUGAAAAGGGAAAUUCAAGAAGACGUAUUUUUUUAUGAGAAAACAAAAAAGAUUUCUAUUUUUUUUUAUUAAAAUUUAUCAACUAAAUAACACUUGUUACAAUAAAAGUACAAUAAAUUGUCAAAAAAAUAUAUUCUUAGCUAAAUAUAUAAUUCUAUAUACAUUAUAAAUAUAAAAAAAAAUUAUUAUAAACUUCAACUCAAUGUGAGUCAAUGCUUUCCAUUUGUAUAAAUUCGAUUUACCCAAUUUCUUCAACACUUGCUGGACAAUUUUAUAACUUCAAAUUUCUAUUCAUCAAUCGACAUAUAAAUUUAGCUAAUAAUAAAAAACAUUAGCUCGUUGAGAAUAAAACCCUUGAAGUUAUUUUUCUAUCAUAAUUAAUUAUCAACAAUUAAAUAAUCAAUCAAUCAAAAAAAAAAAAAAACUGAGUAAUAUUUAAAAAUACGUUCUCUCACA
rnacentral:misc_RNA from 1 species